GGCGAGCAAUUGACCGCUGCGUGAAUAACGUAGAGGAAAGUCCGUGCUUGCACAGGCUGCGAUGCCUGUAGUGUUUCUGUAGGUUAAAUAGAUUCAACCUAGCAUCCUUAACUUGAUGACGGCCACUAAUCACCUAAGUUCGCAAGAAUAUGGUGAAGCGUGCUAAAGUGCCACAGUGACGAAUUAGUGAGAAAUCACUAAGUGAAACGCGGUAAACCCCAGAAGCAAGAAACCUAAAUUUCGGUAAGGGAACGGGUAAUUAAUAAACGAAUUAAUUACUUGAUCAAUAAGCAAUUAUUGGUAGACAAAUGGUCAAUAUCAAUUUCGCAAGAAGUUGACACAGAACACGGCUUAUACUC
rnacentral:RNase_P_RNA from 1 species